rnacentral:ncRNA from 1 species
GGUAGUAGCAAAUAUUCAAGUGAGAUCCUUGAAGACUGAAGUGCAGCAGGGUUGCGCGUGAACAGCAGGCGAAUGUGAGUCAAUCGAUCCUAAGAUAUCGGCUAAUGCCGUUGCGGAUUAUUGAGAAAAUAGGAGUUCAAAUCCAUCUCGGCAUUCGAAAGGGAAACGGGUUAACAUUUUUUUUUUUUUGCAGAUUCAAGGGCCACCUGGACACGAAGCGAACGAAAACAACAGGGCGAUGAGGAAAAAGUAUGUGACCUUUGAUUUUUCUAAAAUUAGCGCUAAAGAAAGUCUUGGCGGCUGACUGUCUUGCCUUGUUUUACUAAUUUUUUCUUCUUUUUU